rnacentral:lncRNA from 1 species
AACUUUUCAUUCUUCCCCUUUUCUCAAUUUAUAGGUCAAUUGUGGCAAAUCGUCUCCCCAUUUGAUGUUGUUGAUUUCCAUUCCCUUUCCCUUCUCAACUUUGUGAAACUGAUAAUUCUUCCCCUUUGAUCUAUCUGCAAGCGAAGGCUUUCUCUUUAAACACCUCUCUCCUCUUUCCAAGUACUAUGGCCGGUGAAGGGGAAGAAAAAAUCAAAGCAACUGCGGCUCAGCCUCCUAGAGGCCUACCACUAAAUUGCCUGCUGUGGCCAAAUUGGCUGCUGUGGCCAUUGUUGGUGGCGAUCGGCGCUCUAACUGUUCUUUUGGUCGCAUGGCGGACAAAAACGUAUGGCCCCGAUUUCCGAGUCCAAUCGGCCAUCGUCUCCCAACUCAACGCGACUCAGUCCCAGUUAACCGCCACCUGGGACCUGUCCGUGGUGGCCACAAACCGCAACCCCGGAAAAGUUCAGGACAUGUACAUCAAGAGACUGAUGGCGUACAUCUUCUACGGGGACAAAGAGAGGAUGAUGAUGCUGGCAGUGAAGCCGGUGGGUAUACGGCCGCGUCUCUUGUUGUCAGGCAAGAGGAACCAGGCCACAGCCAGUUUCCAACUCCAAGCGGUGGAGAUGUACGUGGGACAAAAUGUGUCCCAGGAAAUAUUGCAAGGGCUUAGUGCCCCUGGCUCUGCCUCUGGCUCUCUGGUGAGAUUUGGUCUCAAGCUCGAGGUUUGGUAUAAGGGUAUCGGCAUGGAGUCGGAUUUUAGAGCGCUCUUCUGUGACCGAGUGGUCGAUUUUGGGGUUUCUCCGGUCAAUUAUGUUAAUGAUGGGACUGGGAUUUCGACAGUGAAGGAGGGUGAGUCGACGGAAUGUUAUUAUUACGAGGCAAAGGAUUUUUAUUACUAAGAAAUAACUUGUAGAUGUUUUUUUGUUUACAAACUCGCAGUUACUAGUCUCGUAUGGAAGUUGAUUUCUUUAGGUUGAAUUGGAAAUGUUGGCAUUGCAAUGCUGCGGUUUGUUGUUCUUUUGUUGAAUGAGUAGGUUUUACUAGUCUCGUAAGGGAGUUGCUUCGUGUGACUUGAAUUGGAAAUGUUGCUUAGACUCUUGAACAGUUGAUCAUGUUCAUACUAUUGCAUCUGACUUUCCGUCAUACGGAUAGGAGGAUGCUGUGUUUAACCUAUAUUUUUAUACACAAAGCACAAUUGCUUUCGGUGAACUUGUUGGAUUCAAGAUAGAGCUCGUUAACAGCAAGCCCUCCCACGUCUCACUAUACCCUAGCUUUAUUCUUUCUUUGUAGGUAAACUGCGUUAGCUUAACAAAGUUUGUAAUCCCUCUGCACUGCCUACCAACGAGGAGUGGUUUUGCCCUUCCAGCCCAUUUUACGUCGGCAUAAUUAGUCAUGACUCAUGAAUUAUGUUAGUCUCAGAAAUUACGACCUUGGUUUUUGUUAAAUUUGUUCUCUAUCUUCCUUUCUAUUACUGCCACCCCAUCUGUCUCUGUGUGUUGAGUUUUUUCUUCGUUUUUGUUUCACCUGUUCAGGAGAUAUCCGCAACUUAUCAAGGAACUCAUCGCACCAGAACCAGGCACCGACCAUCCAUUUCCAUUUCAUCUCUUCCCUUGUAUGUGAAUCAUGUGUGAAGAUAUAAGUUAGAAAUCGAUUGCGUCAUUUUCUUGAUUAGGUUGGAAAAUCAAUUUAUUAGACAAUGGUGGUGUGGCAAAUUGAGGACAACGAUUAUUGAUAAGUUUGAUGCAUGGCUCUUUAGCUCCAGUAAACUAAAGGUGUACAGAAUCUUGUCCUGCUAACAUUAAGAAAAAAUUAUGUUUUCUAUACAGUUAGAUUAGGAAUCCUAGAAGCAGAAUUGGAAUAAGAAUAAAGGUGUACUUUCCUAUCCCAUAUAGAAUUGGAGCCUUAAUCAGAAAUAGGGUUGUAAACCGCACCUUUUUUUUUUGUACAAUUAGAUUAGUAAUCCUAGAAACAUAAUUGGAAUAAGAUAUCUCAGUAGAAACUCGGUUGAAUUCAGUAUCCCAUUAGAGGUUGCUCAAUUUACCAUCUUUCGUAUUAAAAAUAGUCAUCUUUACCUUGAGUCCAUUAUCCCGAUCGGAAGAUAGGUAAGUCCCUUAUUCCAAUUGUUGUUAUUAUUUAGUUAAAUCCGUUUAUUUUGUUUAAGAAAAUAUACAAAGAAGUGAAGAUAAUGGGUGGGAGCACAGUUUCUUUCUUGUCAACUGCUAAAUGCUUGGAAUCCCUCCUGACCUUGUUACUGCUGACUCUGAAAUUGUAUUUUAACCUCAAUUUACUCGAUUCGUUUCAUUUUAUCCUUUGAAAUUGUCAUAUAAUCGACCCCAUUUUUGUCCAUUCUCAUGAAUAUAAAGGAAUUGACAGUUUGAACAUUUCAUACCAUGUUGGCAAAGAUGAGCAAUAUUUUGGUUGGCGAUUAAUAUGAAAUUUUCAUAUUGCCAAGUUUCUACUAGUGUGAACGUAAUGGGUGAAAAGAAACAUUUUUAAUAGUUUUAGAUGAUAAAAUGAGACAAAUUCUAAAAAGCAUCCAUCCCUUGUAUCCAAAUGUGUGACUAAAAAAAUCACUUAGUACUACCGUCUAGUGGUAUUCCUCUUCAUUUGUAAGUGAGAGCUCUUAGGUUCCAUUCUCUCCAAAAGCAAAUUUGAACCACAUUAUUGCUAGCUCAUUGUGAGGCUAAGCCCAACCUCCUUAUUGUAAAAAUAUCACUGGUUUAAAAAAAAAAAAAAGUGUGACUAAAGAAUAUACCGAUAAAAAUUGUUGGGUUUUUUCCAGCCCAUGAUUAGUUGUCCUAAGUCUAUUGGGAAUUAAUAGUCUUAGAGGAUUAAAUUGUUUUCCCAAUUGGAGUUGCUUUCCCAAUUGGAGUUAUUUACCCAAUUGGAGUUAGUUUCCCAAUUGGAGUAGGUUUUAUAACUAGUUUCCAAUUAGGAUUAAUAAUCCUUAUUGAAGAAGACCUUUAUUAUGUCUAUAUAAAUGGGCUAUUGUACUAGUUUUAGGAAGGGAGCAAAACAAUAAAUUGUAUACCACUCAAGGGAUUAGAGUGAGAGAAUAUUGUAAAGUGUGUGCGAGAGAAAAGAAAAGAGAUAGUGUAUUUCUUGUUCUUGUUCUUUCAGGUUUUUCGUCAAGUCCUAGUUCUAGAGAUUUGGCAAGAUUAUUGGUUGUACUCAUUAUUGAUAUAGUGAAAGAUUGUUAUUGCUGUCCCGUGGACGUAGGCACAUAUUCCUGAACCACGUAAUUUCUUGGUGUUAUUUAUCUUGGUUAUUUGUUUUUCCCAUUCUUAAACGCGAUAUUCUCAACAAGUGGUAUCAGAGCCUGGUUCGGCUGAUAUCCGUUUAGAAUGGAGGGUUCAAUUAUGAUGAAACUCACCCGCUCCAAUUGGGUUACGUGGAAAUCAAGAAUGGAGGACAUGCUUUAUUGUAAAGAUCUCCAUGAGCCAAUUGAAGGUGUUAAGAGCAAGCCAGAAAAUAUGUCUGAUGCCAAUUGGACCAAGAUGAAUCGUAAAACUAUUGGUACGAUUAGACAAUGGGUGGACGAGAGCAUCUAUCACCAUGUGUCUAAAGAAACUGAUGCGCAAGCUCUUUGGAAGAAGUUAGAAUCCCUCUUUAAGAAGAAGACCGCUGCCAAUAAAGCAUUCCUUAUCAAAGAGCUUGUCAACAUGAAGUAUGCGGAAGAUGUUAGUGUAACCGAGCACUUGAACAACUUUCAGAACGUGAUCAAUCAGGUAGCCACUAUGGGUUUGAAUAUUGAAGAAUAGCUGCUAGCACUUUUAUUGCUAGGAUCCUUGCCAGAUAGUUGGGAAACCUUCGUCGUAACUGUAAGCAAUUCGGCUUCUAAUGGUGUAUUGUCUAUGGAUGUCGUUAAGGAUAGCAUGUUUAAUGAAGAAACAAGGAGAAAAGCUUCAGGUGCAAGCGCUGGACAACUCUUUGUCAGUGAGAAAAGAGGCAAAAGUUCUGAUGAGACGAGAUUCAAUGGCGACUGCCACUAUUGUGGGAAAAAGGGUCACAUGAAGAAGCAUUGUCGUAAAUGGAAAAAGGAACAAAAGGAUGGGAACAAUAUUGCAAGUGUUGUGACUUACGAUGAAGAGCUUCUUUAAUGCAGAUGAUUGAUGGUUUUCUAGCAAAGAAGUCUAUAGUUGCCUUUGCCAAUGAUGAUGAUAGUUCUGAUCAGGGGGAGCCUGGUCAAGAUAAAUCUAAUCAAGAGGGUCUUGGUUAAUGAGUAGUUCAAUCAAAGGGAGCUUGGUUAUGGGUAAUUCGAUCAGGGGGAGUCUGGUCAUGAAAAGUUCUAACAAUGGGAGUUUGGUCAAGAGGAGCAAUCCUAUUAUGGUAUACCUUCCUCAUGGUCUGGAGGGGGAGAUUGUUGGGUUUUUUCCAGCCCAUGAUUAGUUGUCCUAAGUCUAUUGGGAAUUAAUAGUCUUAGAGGAUUAAAUUGUUUUCCCAAUUGGAGUUGCUUUCCCAAUUGGAGUUGUUUACCCAAUUGGAGUUAGUUUCCCAAUUGGAGUAGGUUUUAUAACUAGUUUCCAAUUAGGAUUAAUAAUCCUUACUGAAGAAGACCUUUAUUAUGUCUAUAUAAAUGGGCUAUUGUACUAGUUUUAGGAAGGGAGCAAAACAAUAAAUUGUAUACCACUUAAGGGAUUAGAGUGAGAGAAUAUUGUAAAGUGUGUGCGAGAGAAAAAAAAAAGAUAUAGUGUAUUUAUUGUUCUUGUUCUUUCAGGUUUUUCGUCAAGUUCUAGUUCUAGAGAUUUGGCAAGAUUAUUAGUUGUACUCAUUAUUGAUAAAGUGAAAUAUUGUUGUUGUUGUCCCGUGGACGUAGGCACAAAUUGCUGAACCACGUAAUUUCUUGGUGUUAUUUAUCUUGGUUAUUUGUUUUUCCCAUUCUUAAACGCGAUAUUCUCAACAAAAAUUUGGCCACCCAACACAGGUUUCGCUUCCCCUUCAUAAAAAAGCAAAAUUUUUUGUUCUGUUAAAUUUGACCACCCUUGAACUAUUUAGAAAAUAGGAUUAUUUGGUCAACCUGUAGUAAACUAACCACUUGAUAUAAAUUUAGCACCACAUUCUGGAAAAACUAAUCUUUUAUAGUAACGUUUUAUAUUUGGACUUUCUUAUUCUAUUUUUUUUUUACUAUUCUUUUAUCUUGUAAUGUUGCACAAUAUCUGAACUAUCUAUUUUUAGGAUACUCUUAUUGAUUAUCUUUAUAAAAAGAUCUAACUAAAUUAGAAAUUGUUUAGUCAUCUAAAGAUUACUUAUAAAAUAGACAAAACCAUGUUUCUCACUUAACUUAAAUUUCGACAAUGUGAACCGACGGUCAAAUAAUUUUUAUUUUUAUUGAUUUUUGCAGAGUUGAAGUUUACUAAUGUAUCUAAAAAUUAUAUAGUUCCUAUCAUCAAGCACGAUAAAAAAGAAAGCUGAAAAUGUAAACGAGAAAAUUCAAGUGAAAAGUAAUGAGAAAAUUCGAGUAAAAAGGUUAUUAGAAUUCCAUCUUUCUUUAAUACAUCAAAGACCUUGUAACCUAUUUUUCUAGAGGUUAUUCGAGCGAUACUCCAACUCAUCUUGCAUGGUUAAAUUCUAAACUCCUUAAAAACUCAGUAAUCAGUAAUAUGUCUAAAAUUUAGCUACUUUAAAAUAAAUAAAUAAAUUCAAUCAAGAGACGUAUGAUAGGAUAUCAACAUAUACUGGUGGCUGCACUUAUACAUUUCAUGACGCGAACAUGCACGGAGCAAUAAGGGCGAAGCAAAGUAGAUUAAUGAAAGAAAAACCAUCAAAGAUUGUGAAGGUUCGUAAAAAAAAAUGCUUAAAAAGUUCAUCUCAAGGACUAAUUUUUCACGUUCCCUGUAUCUAGCAGCUAGCGAUCUAUUAAUAGUACGUUUGAUAGAGAUGAUUGACUUGAAUAUAACUAUUACUACUAAGUCUCUCACUAAAUGUUAAUUUAAUUGUAGUAGGGAUAACAAUUCGAACCGUUAAACCCGAUAAUCUUAGAUAACCGUCGAAUUGAACAGAUUUGGGUAUGGAAGUUUGGGUAUAUUUUGAUUAUGGGGAAAAACUAUUUAUGUUAUUCAAUUAUGGUUUUAAAUAUGGUUACAAGGGUCCCCAAACCAUAUCCGUAACAGGAUCCGACCAGAAUAGUAAAUAAUUUAAUUUAUAUAUAAUAUAAUAUAAUCUAUAAAUAUAUUUAUAAUAUAUAAAUAUGUAUAUAUAUAUAUAUAUAUAUAUAUAUCCAUUAUUAACCAAACCAUGACCUUGAGAAUACAAAAGUUGCAUUUUCUAAGAAAGUAAAGUUUUGAAUCAAAAUCAAUGCAAACUCAAUGGUGAUUAUGGGGAAUAUCAAAGACAAGCCAACAUGAUCAGUAUUUUAAUUUUUAUACUCAACAAGAUCCAUUCAUUGGAUCUUUUUAUACAUCAAAUGUUUAAUCGCAAAAUUAAUAUCUACUAACUUAUAAUGUCUCAACUGAAUGAAUAUAUUUUUUGUAUUAACGAAGAUUGAUAUAACCGUCAACCAAUGGACAAUCCGUUACCUAGUGAAUAUGGUUAUGGAUAAUAUCCGAUGGUUAAUUUACGAUUAUGGAUAUGGUUAAUUUUCGUGGUUAUAGAGAUAAAUAUAGUAUUUCCGUCCCCAAACCGAACCAUUAUUAUCCCUAAAUUGUAGCUACGUAGUUACGUACAUUAACUUUUUUACAGUUACAAAAUUGGGCUUCACGAAUCCCCGUCCUGUGCACUACAAUUGUACUGGAUAUAAUCCAACUACAAUUGAUACCUAGUUACGGUCCAAACUUGUAAACAGCCUGCCAUGUAGACUAUAUCAUAGGAUUUCGAGUUCAGUUAUUUUAACCUAAAAGGGAAUUUCUCUGGAUCUCUCUCUUCAAAAUCCAAAGAUUAAGUGAUCCGGACCUUUGAAAUUUGAUCUAACGAUUAAAAACAGAAAAGUUAGUAAAUAUUUUUAAAAAUUAUAAUAUUUUUUAACCGUUGGAUAAAAAAUACUGAAAACUUAAAAAUUAGAUAAAUACAUCAGUGAGUUUUGUAAGAUCAUCUAUGUUGAAAACGUCUAGAACUAAAUUUAUUAAAGUAACUUAUAUAUUGUGAUAGAGCAUGAGAAAAACAACAUAAAUACAAAUUGGAUAUAAUAAGGUAUAAUUGUUUGGUGACGUAAAAAAAAGUAUUGGUUGAUUCUAAAGAAAGUGAAAUAUGUUAAAAUUAAAGUAAUUGAAAAGGAAGUGUCAUUGAAUGAAACUGAAAAAUGUAGUAAAGUUAAUAGAUUUUUGAGUUCAAAAUUUGAUGUCAUUGUUUAGGUAUUUUGGUGUAAAUGGUAGACUUCAAUCUAAAAGUGAUAUGAUACGCGAAAAAAGAUGGAUAAGAUAUAUCUAAUUCGGUGGCUCUUAAUUAAAACAAACAGUACCAUAGUUCACCAAUGUGACAGUGCACUGUGUGUGCAAGAUUGGGGAUGUGUGUAGACGUACUUAUGCUACCAAAAAAUCUAAGCAGAAUUGAUUACUGACUUUAACAACUAAAAUCAAAUACAACUUUUCAAAAAUAAAUCAAGACCAUGGGCACAAUUUGUCAAUGAAAUGAUUCUAAGUGAUACGUUUACAGGUAGGAGAUGACAGUUAUUUGUAUUGCAUAUCUUAGCAAAAUAAGUGGAUAUCAAGGAGAAUUAGAUUUAUUCAAUUUCGAUGCAAAGAAAAUGAAUUAAUGCAGGAACACUAGUACAAAAAAGGCUUUGGGCGACGUAGGACCUUCGUAGUGCAAAGUCAAAAAAACGUCGCGCAAAACGUAGGACAACGAACCCGCGUCGCGCACCGACCGUCGCGUCAAGGCAGUGAAGGAAGUGUUUGCGCGACGCAGAAGUGACCUACGUCGCUCAAAACCACUUCGCGCGAUGUAGGUCUUCGUCGCGCAAAACCACUUAGCGCGAUGUAGACCUUUGUCACGCAAAACCGCUUAGCACGACCUAGGUCUAUGUCGCUCAAAACGUAGGACAACGAACCCGCGUCGCGCACCGACCGUCGCGUCAAGGCAAUGAAGGAAGGGUUUGCGCGACGCAGAAGUGACAUACGUCGCGCAAAACCACUUCGCGCGACGUAGGUCUUCGUCGCGCAAAACCACUUAGCGUGCCACUUAGCACGACGUAGGUCUAUGUCGCGCAAAACCACUUCGUGCGACGUAAACCUUCGUCGCGCAAAACAACUUAGCGCGACAUAGGUCUGCGUCGCGCAAAACCACUUAGCACGACGUAGGUCUAUGUCGCGCAAAACCACUUCGCGCGAUGUAAACCUUCGUCGCGCAAAACCACUUAGCACGACAUAGGUAUGCGUCGCGCAAAACCACUUCGGGCGACGAAGGUUUACGACGCUCUACGUCGUGCAAUUUUUUCUUUUUUUUUUAUUUAGGGCAAAGAAAUUUUUUAUUUAAUUUUUAAUAAAUAUUGUAAUUAAAUUCUAAACAAUAAUUAAUAAACCAAGAAAAAGUAUUUAAUUAUACAAUAUAUGAAAAUGUACAUACAAGAUAUCCGAACAAAAAAGAAAAACUACAGGUCUUUAGGUUUAAUAUAUCAUGCUACUAGGUAUCGACUGGGCGAAGUGGCUAAGAAGUCGAAGGUGGAGCAAGAUUAGUUUCUGGCAUCGGGAUUUGGAGGCCAGACAUCGCUAAGGCCUGAACAAUCAUAUUCAUCCUCUCGUUCUGGGCCACAAGCUGACCUCUUAGGGUUGUCACUUCCUCCUUCAGGGAAUUGACCUCUACUGUGGACGAUCUGGAAGAAGAUGCACCCGUCUCACGAACCCCCGCCUUCCCCAUACACCGAACAACCUUGCCAUGACGACGACCCAACUUCUGAUCCAGGACCUCAGUCACGAUCUUAAGAUCUGCAUCCUCAGGUACAAUGACGUCCUCGAUCGGGGUCUCUGGUGGAAGCUGCGAUGUUGCUUCUUGGAGAAUAGCAGUGCUCUUUUCCACCAUAUCGCCCUGUAAUAAUAAAGAAAAAACAUAUAAUGUUUAAUAACAAAAUAUAAAUAAUAUUUGAACAAUUCAUAAAAAUAAGAAUAAUAACAAUUACAUAUACUUACAAGAAGCUGCUCAGCGUUCUCUUUGCCGGGUCGAACGUAAACGUCCUUUAACUAAUUAACUUACUAGCCCCUACUGUAAAUUUCACACCUAUGCUCAAAACAGAUUUUGUAACCAAUAUCCCAAAAAAGGGGCAAAAGGAAAGAAAAAAAACCUUUGUAUGGUAUACUGCAGCAUUAUCUGUGUAACCGAACUCAACCCAACAAUCUCCUUGUACACUUGGAAAUCUGUAAAAGAUUUUAUGGCUACAGAAGAAGGACCAGGAUCCUCUCCUGAGCUAAGGAUGAGGAUCCUCCUCAUCAAGAGAUGUGGGUUGUUGGAUGAAAAUCCAACGGCUAUAAUUAUUAUAACUUUAAAGGGACCUCCUGUUUGUAGCCGUUGGAUUUUUAUCCAUCCAACGGCCCACACCAAUUGAUGAGGAGGAUCCUCAUCCUUUGCUCAGGAGAGGAUCCUGGUCCGCAGAAGAAAAUAUAUCAUGCAGUAUUAAUGAAGACUCUAGUAUUUUUCCCAAGUGAAUACACAUGAAAAGUAUCAAAGAGAGAAGAAAAAAGUAUCAAAAUAAGAACUACACCUGUGUCCCAUAAUUUGGGCAGACAUGUAUUUUGCUACCGAGGCAAAAUUCUCAAUAACCCAAGCAUCAGCCUAUCAGAUUAAGAAAUAUUCAUGAGGGAAAAAGUAAGCUUAAACAUGAUUUCAUAUGUAUGAACUCACUUUUUAAGAUUAAUUAUUCAUCUGGAAAUGGUUUGAGUUAUAAAACCUGACUCUUAUCAAAUAGCUGGGAUCAAAUCUCAAGAAAAUUCAUUCCUAGAAAUCAUUUCUACGCAAGAGUUGUUUCCAUGCUUUUUCACCUGGGUUUUCAUUCGAUUUCAAUUUUUUAAGUAAAAAUUUAUACCACCCGCAUCUACAAUGCUAAAAACUGAGAAGGUAGGCACACAUUUGAAUUUAUAGCCUAAAUCAGCAUCGCACUAUUAAAUCACGUUAUUAAGUCGCAACAGAAACAUUGAAAAACAUAUGAACUGAUGCCCAACUCUAAUUAAUCCAACAUUAGUAGCUGCCUAAUUCAACAUUAAGAGUUGAUAAGAGAGUAUAUAAAUCCCAAAUCACAAACGCCCCACAUUUGAACAAAGCAAAGACGCCAGAUAUGGAUCCCAAAGAACUCAUCAGGAAGCCCUGGCUUUCGUGGGUAAGAAAUUCUUCAAAUCAAAGCAAAAAAACUAAAGAUGGUUACCUAAAUUCAAUAAAAAUUAAAAUAUAAUUACUCUUCAGCAUGCAUGCUUUUUUUUUCAGGAAUCAUAAAAACUUGAAAAUAUCCCAAACAGUUCCUUACACCUCAUGUAUUCAACAGAGCUUGAAUUUCUAAAGGGAAGACUUGAAAUCAUAUAUGUAAGAGACAGAGCUUUCUAAAAUCCUAAUAACUUCACAUAUUAUCAAUUUCCCAACAAAAUACAUAGGUUCCAGCACUAACAACAUAAAAACUUUUAAAAUUGCAAUCUAAACUAAUGUUUUCUCUCUUCCUCUCCCUGUCCGUAUUCCCUCUAUCACAUAAAAGGCAUAAACACAAAGCUUUCUAAAAUUCCAAGGACUCGUCUCAUUUCUUCCAAAAAAAUACAAAUCCAUUUUCAUCCAACUAUUGUCAGUACAUCCCCAAACUGGAAAAAAGCAGAAGGACAGAAAACGUACCCAAAAUAUAACAGCAGCGUCACAGGUGCUUUGAAUAUUUUCUCAAUUUAUUUAUGGGUGUGUAAGUUAGAGACUCGGCACAAAAGUUCAUCCCCAAAUUCAAAAACUCUUUAUUUAAAAAAACAAAUAUUAGUACAUGUUUUUUUUGUUUGUUAUUUUUUAAUUAAAUAUAUAAAAGUGAGAGGCAGAUGACAGUCUGUAAGCUUGUAAUUUUAAAUUAAAUAAAUAAAGUGCAAGGUAGAAGGUAGUCAAUGGCGUAGCCAGAAAUUAUUCGAUGGGUGGGCUAAGCUAAAAUUAUAACUACGAAAUCAAAUUUUUAAUCCUAUGUUGCCUACAUAAAGUUAUAUAAUAGUAAAAACUUGAAUGUAGUAAUUUGAAGCAAGAAUUUUAUGCUAUGAUUUCUAGGUUUCAAGCCUUCAAAGCUUUCAAGUGAAUAAAAUAGGGAACUUUAACAAAAAGCACCCGGUACUGUUCAAUUUAACGAAAAACCACAUUUUUACACUAAAAAGUCAAUCCUGGUACUAUUCACUUUACCCUUUAUUUUGUCCUUAUCAUUAAAACUCAAAGUUUUCAAGCCAUUUUCAUUAGUUUUCCUAAUAAAAUAAGCAACCAUUUGUGGUAUGAAAGUUUUAAUGUAUUACUAUUAAACAUAAUAUUGGUUAAAGUGAUGAGUUUAUUUAACAUCUAUUAGCUCUUACUAUUCUUCAAACAGUCUUACUAGUAAAAAAAAUCAUUUGUUAAGUGAAAUAUGACAAUUAAAAAUCAUAAACAAACCCAAAAAUUAAUAUUUUUAAACUUGAAGAACCAAACUCUCCAUAUGCUAUAGCCCAGGGGAGCCUUGUACUUGGCUCCGCCCUUGAAGGUAGUGUGUAGGCGAAAAAUGCUUUUGUUUCUCAGCCACACGCAUCCACGACACCCUGCAGUCAAUGGAGGCCGACCUAGUCAGGAAAAGAAACAACCCUUUUUUUUUUUGGUUUUUGAUCAUUCUAUGUUGUAUCAUUAUGUACUUGCUAGGAAUUUCAUGGAUAACCAAGGACCCGGUAAUCCAACAGCCGAACGAUGGGCUCGGUGCAUGUUGUGGUACUGUUUCUUGCAUUCACAUUUGGGCUGAUUGUUCACUUUAAUAAGGCUAAGGGUAUUGUUAAGAAGGGAUACUGGGACAUCUAUAUUUUACUGUUGUAACUUAACAACAGUAGGAUAUGGAGACUACGUUCCCAAUACGGGUACUUCGAAGUGGUUCAAAGUAUUAGUCGAAGUGGUUCACAGUAUUAGUCGCAGUGGUUCUGGAAAAUCCAAGUAUGUGUACCAUCAAUACAAUAAUAGGUGAGCUCAUAUCUUGGAUUGUUUCCAAAAGUAGAUUUUAUCAAAGGCCUAGGUAGCAUCAGAUCGGUUUGGCAACAUUUUGUAUGUUUCUCCUGGUGGUAAUCAUAGGGCUUGCAGUAAUACGCCUAUGGGAGGCGAAGCAGAGGGCAUAUUAUGCAAAGGGUAUAUUACUUUAACGUUAUAUCGUUGAUGACGAUUGGGUACAACGAUUUUGUGUUCAAGUCUACUAGUGGACAACUUUUCACUUCGUUUUAUCUGCUAAUUGGACCACUGCUGGUCGUCUGAUAUUUAGACUUCCUAGUUGGCUCUUUUCUCCAACAGUGGACUGGGUAAUUAAAUUUACUUUAUUUUCGUAUACCAUAUGUUAUGUUUGUGUGACUCUUUGAAGUAAAGUUUAUAAUUUUUCUUGAUAUAUAGACCAAAUUUAGAACAACAGUUAUAUGACGCCAGGGUAGCUAUAGUAGUUGAUCAAAGCUCUUCCCUGGUGUCGUAUAACUGGUGUUCUAAGUUUGUUCUGCGUAUCAAGAAAAAUUAUAAACUUUACUUCAAAGAAUAACAUAAGGUAUAUGUAAAUAAAGUAAAUGUAAUUACCCCAUCCAUUGUCCAAGAAAAGGGCCAACUAGGAAGUCCAAAUAUCGGACUACCAGCAGUGGUCCAAUUAGCAGAAAAACGAAGCGAAAAGUUGUCCACUAGUAGACUUGAACGCAAAAUCGCCGUACCCAAUUGUCAUCAACGAUAUAACGUUAAAGUAAGAUACAUUUGCAUAAUUCAUAUUUUUUGUAUUCUUGUUAUCCACAGUUGUCUGCUUCGCCUCCAAUAGGCGUAUUACUGCAAGCCCUAUGAUUACCACCAGGAGAAAAAUACAAAAUGUUGCCGAACCGAUUUGAUGAUGCCUAGGCCUCUGAUAAAAUCUACUCUUGGAAACAAUCCACGAUAGGAGCUUACCUAUGAUUUUAUUAAUGGUACAUAUACUUGGAUUUGCUAGAACAACCACGACUAAUACUGUGAACCACUUCGAUGUACCCGUGUUGGGAACGUAGUCUCCAUAUCCUACAAUUGUUAUAGUAACAACCGUAAAAUACAGAGCCUCUACGAAACCCUCGAAUCCCUUCUUAACACUACCCUUAUCCUGAUUAAGGUGAACACUCAUCCCAAACUUGAAUGCAAGAACCAGUACCAUAGCAUGCACUACACCAUACACCACAGUUCUGCUGUGGUGUCGGCUGCCGGAUUAGCACAUCCUUGGUUAUCCAUGAAAAACCUAGUAAGACAUCACGACAGAACAGAAUGAUCAAAAACCAAAAGAAAAAAUGGUUGUUUCUUUUCCUCCCUAGGUCGGCCUCUACCGGAGUGGUGGAUGCAUGUGGAGGUGUGGCUGAGAAACAAAAGCAUUUUUCACCUACACACUGCCUUCUGCCUUUCACUUUUACAUUUUUUUUUGGUUAACAUACUAGCAGUUACUAGUCUCAUGGAAGUUGAUUUCUGUAGGUUGAAUUGGAAAUGUUGGCAUUGCAAUGCUGCGGUUUGUUGUUCUUUUGUUGAAUGAGUAGGUUUCAAUAAUCUCGAAAGGGAGAUGUGUGUGACUGGAAUUGGAAAUGUUGCAUUGCAAUCCUGUUUGUUGUUUUUUUGUUGAAUGACUAGUUUUUAUUUGUUUAUUUCCGUUCGACUUUUCUGCAGAAAAUAAGUCGAUCAGAUUCAGGAACUAAAUGACAGCUCUUUCUGGAACUAAAAGUGAUCUAAUUGAGAAUGAUGUCUCACUCUUUCUGUGGGUUGUUUUGGAAGUGUUGGCAUUGCAAUGCUGCAGUUUGUUGUUCUUUUGUUGAAUGAGUAGGUUUUACUAGUCUCGUAUGGGAGUUGCUUCGUGUGACUUGAGUUGGAAAUGUUUGCUUUGCUAUCCUGGUUGUUGUUCUUUUGUCAAAUGACUACUUUUGUCAAUAAAGGGACCAACUGCGUCCAAGGAUUAGGAACAAUUUGUGUCUUUAUAUUGCUACUAGUGUUGUCCAGGCCAGGAAGCACUGUUAAUAGACUCAUGAAUGGUUAAUCAUGUUCAUACUAUUGCAUCUUACUUUCAGUCAUACGGAUAGGAGGAUACUGUGUUUAACCUAUACACAAAGCACAAUUGCUUUCGGUGAACUUCUUGGAUUCAAGAU